rnacentral:rRNA from 1 species
UACGUAGGGAGCAAGCGUUGUCCGGAAUCAUUGGGCGUAAAGCGCGCGUAGGCGGCCUUGUAAGUCCGUUGUGAAAGUCAAAGGCUCAACCUUUGAAAGCCGAUGGAUACUGUGAGGCUAGAGUCCGGAAGAGGCGAGUGGAAUUCCUGGUGUAGCGGUGGAAUGCGCAGAUAUCAGGAGGAACACCCAUUGCGAAGGCAGCUCGCUGGGACGUUACUGACGCUGAGACGCGAAAGCGUGGGGAGCAAACAGG